UUACCUUCAUUUUCAUUUUCAUUUUUAGUUGUACUGUUUAUAUUUCUUAAUAAUAUAGGGUCAGUCUAAUAUGCUAAUUUGUUCACAAAUAUAGAUUUCCAAAAAACGAAAAUAGAAGGAAAUAAUGGCGGUAAUCAUUUCUACAGCAACACUGGUAGUACUGCUCUGAGCACGACUAGUAAAUCUUAUCUAAGAAAAUAUUGUGUUUUUCCGACGAUAAGUUAGAAGAAAAUGAUCAGACGAAUAAAGGAUAUGGAGACCUUACAGUUGAUGAUUUUAAUUCACCCAGAAAAGCCUUAGAUACUUAAUAAUGUCUAAUUCACACACACUUAUAAUAGUUGGCAUGAGCUGUGAAAAGAUAUAUUAUAUUGAAGAUGUAGGCUGUUAAUAAAUUUGUGGUGUCCUACAUAUGCAUACAUACAAAGUUUACUGGUCGUCAAAUACGUUCAUGUUUCCCAUUCAUGGAAUUUACUUCUCAACAAGAAAAGACAAACUUCUUUGGAAGAAGGCUAAGCAAACACUUAUUACCUUCAAUUGCACUCUGAAUCAUCUUUUUGAAUAAAAUUAUGUGUCUAAGACUUACUUAUAAUUAUAAGAAAACUUUAUUUUUAAAUUUUAUAGUUUGAGGAAAAAGUAUUUAAGAUCUUUAUUAGUUAUACCAUCAUAGUUUUCAUACUUGUCGUAUUUAUAGCUUAAUUGUAAUUUAAAAUUUAGAGAUAUAUGACUAAUGUGCUGUAAUUUAUUGUUAUACUUGUAGUAGU